AAGGGCACCACAAGAACGCGUGGAGNAUGUGGCUUAAUUUGACUCAACGCGGGGAAACUUACCGGGUCCGGACACACUGAGGAUUGACAGGUGCUCGGUAAAAGGGUAAGGUACUUUUUUAAGUACCUUAUUCCUUUUGCCUCAAAUAUGAUAGUCCUUUCAUGAUUGUGUGAUAGGUGGUGCAUGGNCGUUCUUAGUUCGUGGAGUGAUCUGUCUGCUUAAUUGCGUUUCAGAAUAUAGGUUCUUAGCGGCCAUGUUAAUGUAACGAGGCCUCCUUAUGCUUUUUGCCCUUAGGGUUUUAAACGUAAGGUGUUUGCCCUUACAUUUAACAGCCUUUGAAACCUCGAAGGAAACGAACGUGAUCGCAACCUCUUGUUGCCUCUCUUCUACCAUAUUUACCUACGGUAGACUGUUACCUCGUGGACCUUUCCUAUUUAAAGGAAGCCAUGGGGAUAGCAGAGCGGGGUGCUUAACUAGAGGGACCGCCGACCUUUUUAAAUCGGAGGAAGGUUGCGGCAAUAACAGGUCUGUGAUGCCCUUAGAUGUUCCGGGCUGCACACGUGCUACAAUGAUCGUUGCAGUGAGCAUCUUUCAACGCUCGUAAUUAGGACUCGUUCUUUUUACGACACACCUACUUCGAAAGUAAGUAGGUAAUCAAUUCGAAGUAACGAUUUCUCUCGCACACAAAACCUCGUAGCGCCUUGGCUUUAGCACUUAGUGGUUUCGAUCAUUGGGUCGAGCUAAGGAUUGCUACGACGUGCUCUUAUUUUUUUCAUGGUGGGGACAGACCAUUGCAAUUGUUGGUCUCGGUCUUAACUAGGAAUGCCUUGUACGGGUCAUGGUUCAACAGACCACCCGGAAUAUGUCCCUGCCCUUUGUACACACCGCCCGUCGCUCUUACCGAUGGACUUCUCUGUGAGUAUAAGGGACUGGUAUCUUAAUGCUAUGGAAACUUACACGAACAGUGUGGUCUAAAGGAAAGAGAAGUCGUAACAAGGCAUCGGUAGGUGAACCUGCAGAAGGAUCA
rnacentral:rRNA from 1 species